UUCUGAGUUUUUUUUAAUACCGAGAAUGGAAGAGUAUAAUGUCAACUCUUUCGACUCUAUUUCUCCAGGUAUAUAUUUUUUUUGUUUCUUUCACAAUGUAUGGUGGAAGUGAUGGUGAUGAGAAAGAUGGCGAUUUUGGUGUUGAAGGAGUUGAGAAAGGUGAUGAUUUUGGUGUUGAAGGUGUUGAGAAUGGUGAUUUUGGUGAUGAAUUUCGUGUGUAAAGACUGACAUCUCUUAGUGAGGGAGAGCGCUUGGAACACAGUGAAGGCGAGGAACAGUUCAGAAGCCGGUUGAAGAAAUUUAGAAGAAGAAGAUUUAGAAGAAGUAUUAGUGUCAGUUUAGAGGAAGGUUUAAGAAUAGCUUGAAAAAGGUUGAGGUGGUAAUGACUGACCUUUCUUAGUGAGGGAGAGCGCUUGGAACACAGUGAAGGCGAGGAACAGUUCAGAAGCAGGUUGAAGAAAUUUAGAAGAAGAAGAUUUAGAAGAAGUAUUAGUGUCAGUUUAGAGGAAGGUUUAAGAAUAGCUUGAAAAAGGUUGAGGUGGUAAUGACUGACCUUUCUUAGUGAGGGAGAGCGCCUGGAACACAACGAGGCGAGGAACAGUUCAGAAUCUUACAGUACCUUUGCUUGAGUUACAGUAAGAAGGAAAGAUAGACAAAGAAAGAUAAAGAUAGUUCGAAAAUUUAUCAGUGAAAGUUAUGAAAGAAAGAAGAUACUGUAAAAAUAUAUUCACUUAAUUUAUAGAAAGGAAGAAAUAAAGAAAAAAGAGAGGAAAGAAGGAAAUAUAUAAAGAAAGAUAAAGAUAGGUCAAAUAUUUACAAGUGAAAGUUAUGAGAGAAAGAAGAUGCGGUUAAAAUAUAUUCGCUUAAUUUAUAGAAAGGAAGAAAUAAAGAAAACAAAA